rnacentral:rRNA from 1 species
GACGAACGCUGGCGGCGUGCUUAACACAUGCAAGUCGAACGGUAAGGCCCUUCGGGGUACACGAGUGGCGAACGGGUGAGUAACACGUGGGUGAUCUGCCCUGCACUUCGGGAUAAGCCUGGGAAACUGGGUCUAAUACCGGAGAGGACCACUGCCUGCAUGGGUGGUGGUGGAAAGCUUUUGCGGUGUGGGAUGGGCCCGCGGCCUAUCAGCUUGUUGGUGGGGUGAUGGCCUACCAAGGCGACGACGGGUAGCCGGCCUGAGAGGGUGACCGGCCACACUGGGACUGAGAUACGGCCCAUACUCCUACGGGAGGCAGCAGUGGGGAAUAUUGCACAAUGGGCGCAAGCCUGAUGCAGCGACGCCGCGUGAGGGAUGACGGCCUUCGGGUUGUAAACCUCUUUCAGCACCGACGAAGCGCAAGUGACGGUAGGUGCAGAAGAAGGACCGGCCAACUACGUGCCAGCCGCCGCCGUAAUAC